GGGGAUUUAGCUUAGUGGUAGAGCGCUUGCCUAGCAAGCACAAGACCCUGGGUUCGGUCCCCAGCUCG
rnacentral:tRNA from 1 species